rnacentral:tRNA from 1 species
AGGAUUAUAAUUAAUUAUAAUAUUUGACUCGCAAUCAAAAAGUGCUUAGUAUAGCUAAUCUA